rnacentral:rRNA from 1 species
UACAGGGGGUGCAAACGUUGCUCGGAAUUAUUGGGCGUAAAGCGCGCGUAGGCGGCUACUUAAGUCGGAUGUGAAAGCCCUUGGCUCAACUGAGGAAGUGCACCCGAAACUGAGUGGCUUGAGUACUAAAGAGGGUCGCGGAAUUCCUGGUGUAGCGGUGAAAUGCGCAGAUAUCAGGAGGAACACCCAUUGCGAAGGCAGCUCGCUGGGACGUUACUGACGCUGAGACGCGAAAGCGUGGGGAGCAAACAGG